rnacentral:rRNA from 1 species
CCACACGACUCUCGGCAACGGAUAUCUUGGCUCUCGCAUCGAUGAAGAACGUAGCGAAAUGCGAUACCUGGUGUGAAUUGCAGAAUCCCGCGAACCAUCGAGUCUUUGAACGCAAGUUGCGCCCGAGGCCACYCGGCCGAGGGCACGCCUGCCUGGGCGUCACGC